UAGGGAAUCUUCCACAAUGGGCGAAAGCCUGAUGGAGCAACGCCGCGUGUGUGAUGAAGGGUUUCGGCUCGUAAAACACUGUUGUAAGAGAAGAAUGACAUUGAGAGUAACUGUUCAAUGUGUGACGGUAUCUUACCAGAAAGGAACGGNUAAAUACGGGCCAG
rnacentral:rRNA from 1 species